rnacentral:sRNA from 1 species
GCCUAGCCCCGAUUGCAGAGAAAAUCCCGCAAUGGAGCGGUGAAGCCUUCGCAGGGCUCAGGACAGGCCAAGGCGGAGCCGCGCAAUGAGGAAUUGUAACGGAAAGCGGGAAACAGC